UGGUGGAGUGAUUUGUCUGGUUAAUUCCGUUAACGAACGAGACCUCAGCCUGCUAAAUAGUUUGCGUUUUCUCACGAAAGCGUAGUUACUUCUUAGAGGGACAUUUCGGUUUUACCGGAAGGAAGUUUGAGGCAAUAACA
rnacentral:rRNA from 1 species